GUUAAGGUGGCCUAGUGGUUAGUGCGUCCAACUCAGAUGCGGGAGGUCAUGGGUGCAAACCCCGGCUGAGUCUUACCA